GCUGAACACAGAUCCAUUCUUUUUCAUGCCCCCAUUAAUGCUUCACAGACAAGAUGUCUCAAGCAACAGAUUACUUUCAUAGGUCCAGUCUCAUCGUUCAUAUUUAUCCAAAUGGUUAGAGAAGAACCCAGCGGUGAUCAUUCAGUGGCUGUAUGAAGCAGAUGUCUUGUCCCAGGACUCAGGAGCAAUAUUUUACUCUUCUAGAGCGCCGGCCCAGCAGCAACCAGAUGAUUUCUCUGCUAGAGCUGGUGACCAAGAAUGAAGAGAGUUGCAGAAUAUUUGUGCAAGUCCUUUGGCAGGUGCAGGAACAUUACUGCCCCGAGCUACAAUCCUGGCUGAUGGAUACAUUUACUUUAUACUUCCAAGAGGCACCUGGUCCCAGUGAAACUGAGAUAACAGACAAGAAGAGGAGAUGGGGCUGGUUGAGACUAAAGUCAAGGAAAGAAAAGAAGUACAAACUGGACUCACC